rnacentral:rRNA from 1 species
GACGAACGCUGGCGGCGUGCCUAAUACAUGCAAGUAGAACGCUGAAGCGAGGAGCUUGCUCUUCUUGGAUGAGUUGCGAACGGGUGAGUAACGCGUAGGUAACCUGCCUUGUAGCGGGGGAUAACUAUUGGAAACGAUAGCUAAUACCGCAUAACAAUGGAUGACACAUGUCAUUUAUUUGAAAGGGGCAAUUGCUCCACUACAAGAUGGACCUGCGUUGUAUUAGCUAGUAGGUGAGGUAAUGGCUCACCUAGGCGACGAUACAUAGCCGACCUGAGAGGGUGAUCGGCCACACUGGGACUGAGACACGGCCCAGACGCCUACGGGAGGCAGCAGUAGGGAAUCUUCGGCAAUGGGGGCAACCCUGACCGGGCAACGCCGCGGGAGGGAAGAAGGUUUUCGGAUCGUAAAGCUCUGUUGUAAGUCAAGAAAGGGUGUGAGAGUGGAAAGUUCACACUGUGACGGUAGCUUACCAGAAAGGGACGGCUAACUACGUG